UUUUAUAAGAAAUUAAAUAGAGUUAAAAUCUAGAGUCUUCUAAAAGAAAUCAGAUCUCUCUUCCUCUGCUGAGUGCUCACACGCGUUCUCUCUCUCUUUCUCAGUUCUCUCAGCUGCGUCUCUCACUCUCCCUCUCCUUUUCGCCCAGCGAGGCCGGCUCCUCUCCUUCCUCCCCCUCUUCUUCCUCUUUCUUCCCUAUUUUCUCUCAAAUCUCUAAAAUUCCUAACUUAUAUAUGUAGGGUUUCUGUCUCUCUUUUCCCCUCUGAGAUUCGUCCCUCCGGUAAUCCCUGCUGCACCGCCGCCGUCUCCAUCCCAGGUAUGUCCCUUCUUUCUCCCUCUCAAUCCUUCUCUCAUCUGUUUCUCUGUCCGUGUCUCAGUCUCUAUCUUACUCUCUAUCUCUCUCGCUCAAACUCUCUCUGUUGUGGUGGCCACCGCGGAACGCCGUGGCAUGGGCAGCGCCGGCGGUCGCUGACGUCAGUUGCUCCGCCGCGGUGGCUCGCGGCUGCUGCUGCCGUCCCUUCCCUUUGUUUAAUUCUUUCCCUUUUUCUUACUUAUUCCUAUUUAAUACCUCAUAAUAAUAAAUCUCUAACUAUUUCCCUAUUUCUCGAAUCGUUGAUUCGAGAUAUCUCCACGUGACAACUCUCCUGACAUCGCUGCUCAAUUCAAGACUGUACCUUUCUUCCUUUCUUUUUAUUUAUCUGGUUUCUUGUUCAGCUGUUGAAAAUUAGGAUUUUGAGUGCUGUUAUAAAUUGUGUUUCUAUCUACUUGGUGUAGCUAUUAUUCAUCUCUACAAAUCUUAGUUGCUGCUCUUUACAUAACGAAUUAUGGAACUGAAUAAAAGGAAUACUACCUGCUUUAGUGAAUUCCGC
rnacentral:lncRNA from 1 species